GUUAAUGAAGCAAAACCGGAUAUGCGAGAGAUCUAAGUCCUCUCAUCAGGAGGUUCAAGUCCUCCCACUAACU
rnacentral:tRNA from 1 species